rnacentral:misc_RNA from 1 species
UCUCCGUAGGUGAACCUGCGGAGGGAUCAUUACAGAGUUCAUUCCCUACCGGGUAGAUCUCCCACCCUAUGUUAUUAUUACUUUGUUGCUUUGGCGGGCCGUUAGGCUCCGGCCCGACUACCGGCCCCGGCUGGUAAGCGCCCGCCAGAGGACCCAAAACCCUGAAUAUUAGUGUCGUCUGAGUACUAUAUAAAAGUUAAAACUUUCAACAACGGAUCUCUUGGUUCUG